UACGUAGGCAGCAAGCGUUGUUCGGAGUUACUGGGCGUAAAGAGUGUGUAGGCGGUGCGGUAAGUUCGGUGUGAAAUCUCCCGGCUCAACUGGGAGGGUGCGCCGGAUACUACCGUGCUCGAGCAUGGGAGAGGAAAGCGGAAUUCCUGGUGUAGCGGUGAAAUGCGUAGAUAUCAGGAGGAACACCGGCGGUGUAGACGGCUUUCUGGACCAUUGCUGACGCUGAGACACGAAAGCGUGGGUAGCAAACAGG
rnacentral:rRNA from 1 species